rnacentral:rRNA from 1 species
UACAGAGGUCUCAAGCGUUGUUCGGAUUCAUUGGGCGUAAAGGGUGCGUAGGUGGCGGGGUAAGUCUGGUGUGAAAUCCCGGGGCUCAACCCCGGAACUGCACUGGAUACUGCUUUGCUAGAGUACUGGGGAGGGAACUGGAAUUUACGGUGUAGCAGUGAAAUGCGUAGAUAUCGUAAGGAAGGCCAGUGGCGAAGGCGAGUUCCUGGACAGUUACUGACACUGAGGCACGAAGGCCAGGGGAGCAAACGGG